CCUACGGGAGGCAGCAGUGAGGAAUAUUGGUCAAUGGGCGCGAGCCUGAACCAGCCAAGUCGCGUGAGGGAAGACGGUCCUAUGGAUUGUAAACCUCUUUUGUCGGGGAGCAAAACACGCCACGCGUGGCGUUCCGAGAGUACCCGACGAAUAAGCAUCGGCUAACUCCGUGCCAGCAGCCGCGGUAAUACGGAGGAUGCGAGCGUUAUCCGGAUUUAUUGGGUUUAAAGGGUGAGAAGGCGGAAGAUCAGUUCAGCGGUAAAAUUGAGAGGCUCAACCUCUUCGAGCCGUUGAAACUGGUGUGCUUGAGUGAGUGAGAGGUAUGCGGAAGGCGUGGUGUAGCGGUGAAAUGCAUAGAUAUCACGCAGAACUCCGAUUGCGAAGGCAGCAUACCGGCGCUCAACUGACGCUCAUGCACGAAAGUGUGGGUAUCGAACAGGAUUAGAUACCCCAGUAGUC
rnacentral:rRNA from 1 species